AGCAGUCGCCGCGGUAAUACGGAGGGUGCAAGCGUUAAUCGGAAUUACUGGGCGUAAAGCGCACGCAGGCGGUCUGUCAAGUCGGAUGUGAAAUCCCUGAGCUUAACUUAGGAAUUGCAUUCGAUACUGGGAAGCUAGAGUAUGGGAGAGGAUGGUAGAAUUCCAGGUGUAGCGGUGAAAUGCGUAGAGAUCUGGAGGAAUACCGAUGGCGAAGGCAGCCAUCUGGCCUAAUACUGACGCUGAGGUACGAAAGCAUGGGGAGCAAACAGGAUUAGAUACCCGGGUAGUCCCUGUCUCUUAUAC
rnacentral:rRNA from 1 species